rnacentral:rRNA from 1 species
UAUUGCUCUUCAACGAGGAAUCCCUAGUAAGCACAAGUCAUCAGCUUGUGCUGAUUACGUCCCUGCCCUCUGUACACACCGCCCGUCGCUACUACCGAUUGAAUGGCUUAGUGAGACCCUCGGAUCGAUGCUCAUCGACUGUAAAAGGUCUUUGUUUAUUGAGAAGUUGGUCAAACUUGGUCAUUUAGAGGAAGUAAAAGUCGUAACAAGGUUUCCGUAGGUGAACCUGCGGAAGGAUCAUUA